rnacentral:rRNA from 1 species
UACGUAGGCAGCAAGCGUUGUUCGGAAUUACUGGGCGUAAAGAGUGUGUAGGCGGUGUUCUAAGUCUGGUGUGAAAUCUAUGGGCUCAACUCAUAGUCUGCAUCGGAAACUGCCGGGCUUGAGUGUGGGAGAGGUGAGUGGAAUUCCUGGUGUAGCGGUGAAAUGCGUAGAUAUCAGGAGGAACACCUGUGGCGAAAGCGGCUCACUGGACCAUAACUGACGCUGAUGCACGAAAGCUAGGGGAGCAAACAGG